CUGCGGAACUCUUCCUCCUCCUUGUUGCCUGGGGACCAACAGCUGAGAACCAAGCUGAGGAUUCUCUAGUAUAGCCAGUCCCAAUGCAGCUGUGUAAACGUGGUCUCCUGAAUGUGGAAAAAGGAGACUAGACCACCUAAGAGCAAAGUUCCUGUAGCUGAGAAACUUACAGUUCUGCUUCCUCGUGCCUUGAAGAAAUGUUUAGAGAAGCCUUUAUGAAUCUGAGUAAUGGAAUUCCAUGGUUCACUUUCAUCUUGCAAUACCAAAGGCUGAGGAAGAGGAGGAGUUGGUCUUCCUGUCUCAGGUGACAGAGGCAGAAGAGGUGGAGGAGGUAGAAGAGGAUGCAGGAGAUGAAGGCAUACUUGGUGUAAAUUUUAUUGAGAAACAUCUGAGUAUAAGUGGAUCUACACAGUUCAGACUCAUAUUAUUCAAGGGUCAACUAUCCUAACUGAUUUUCUGUCUACUUUUAUAUCAGUUACCAAGACAGAUGGGUUGAAAUUUUGUACAGUAAUUCCCAAGAAAGGAAAUCUUCUCAUUGGACAGGACAGACAAAAAAAAUUGGCUCUUCAAGAUGUGAAUAAGAAUUUAACAGGAUGUUAACUACAGAAAGGAUAUCAUAGAGUUAAAAACAAGA